AACGAACGCUGGCGGCAUGCCUAACACAUGCAAGUCGAACGAGACCUUCGGGUCUAGUGGCGCACGGGUGCGUAACGCGUGGGAACCUGCACUUAGGUUCGGAAUAACUCCCCGAAAGGGGUGCUAAUACCGGAUAAUGUCUUCGGACCAAAGAUUUAUCGCCUUUGGAUGGGCCCGCGUUGGAUUAGCUAGUUGGUAGGGUAAAAGCCUACCAAGGCGACGAUCCAUAGCUGGUCUGAGAGGAUGAUCAGCCACACUGGGACUGAGACACGGCCCAGACUCCUACGGGAGGGAGCAGUGGGGAAUAUUGGACAAGGGGCGAAAGCCUGAUCCAGCAAUGCCGCGUGAGUGAUGAAGGCCUUAGGGUUGUAAAGCUCUUUUACCCGGGAUGAUAAUGACAGUACCGGGAGAAUAAGCUCCGGCUAACUCCGUG
rnacentral:rRNA from 1 species